GAAGAGUUUUGGAGACAUCACCGCCUGAGACUGCAGUGAGUCCUUGCCACUCGAGACAGCGGUCCUACACCUUCCAGCGGCCCAACAGCGCCCCCUGCCGACCACAACCAGGUACUGCAGGUCCUACACCUUCCAGCGGCCCAACAGCGCCCCCUGCCGACCACAACCAGGUACUGCAGGUCCUACAGCUCCAGCGGCCCAACAGCGCCCCCUGUUGACCACGACCAGGUACUGCAGGUCCUACAGCUCCAGCGGCCCAACAGCGCCCCCUGCAGACCGCAAUUAGGACCGUGUUAAAGGACAGAGGAGUACUCUUUUAGGCUUGUUGUUGUGGUUGUUGUUGCUGGUGUUGUUUUGUUUUGUGUUACUUUUUUUUCUUCUUCUUUUUUUGCCAACAUUCAUAUAUUUCUUAAUAAAGGGUUGUUAUUUCUCCUGU